AGUGAACGCUGGCGGUAGGCCUAACACAUGCAAGUCGAACGGCAGCGCAGUAAGAGCUUGCUCUUACGGGUGGCGAGUGGCGGACGGGUGAGGAAUACAUCGGAAUCUACUUUUUCGUGGGGGAUAACGUAGGGAAACUUACGCUAAUACCGCAUACGACCUACGGGUGAAAGCAGGGGAUCUUCGGACCUUGCGCGAUUGAACGAGCCGAUGUCGGAUUAGCUAGUUGGCGGGGUAAAGGCCCACCAAGGCGACGAUCCGUAGCUGGUCUGAGAGGAUGAUCAGCCACACUGGAACUGGGACACGGUCCAGACUCCUACGGGAGGCAGCAGUCGGGAAUAGUGGACAAUGGGCGCAAGCCUGAUCCAGCCAUACCGCGUGGGUGAAGAAGGCCUUCGGGUUGUAAAGCCCUUUUGUUGGGAAAGAAAAGCAGCAGGUUAAGACCCCGCGGUUCUGACGGUACCCAAAGAAUAAGCACCGGCUAACUUCGUG
rnacentral:rRNA from 1 species